CCAAUGCACGUUAAAGUUCUGUUAUGUCGCCUGUCGCUUUAAAUGCACAAGGUGGAUUCUGAUUGGAUGUCAUUCUAUAUAUCGUUAAUCAGCCGAUAAAUCAAUUGUUUCGGGGUUAUUCCAACGAUAACGUACCUCUGUCACUAUCGUUCUUGUUUUGGUAGACUUCGCUAUUCUCCUACCAUUAGAACUAACUUUUUCUAGUCAUCGUCUUUUCUCUAGUUAAAUGGAAUUAUAAUCCAUUUUAAUUCACCAAGAACGAUUGUGUUAAUUAUAUGUAUGUAGAAACAAAUAAUAACUACUAUCUGAUGAGUGAUUUUCCUUAGUGGGUAUCCCCAUUUACGUAUUUCCCCUCAUUCACAGUGAACUUGGAUCACUCAAAGCCUUUUCCCCAGUCAUACACAAAGGCCACUUAGUGGGAAUGACACCUUACAGCAGAAAGAUACAUUUAGGGGGAGUUUAUGACCUUACAAAAGUAAGUACACCUAUACCAAACUUGACGAACCAUUAAAGUUAUUCUGUGAAAAAUACAAACUUACCUCAGGAGACAAACUAUUUGAUGUAGGCUAUAUACAAUAGCUCAGCUAACAAUAGUUUGACUCAAAUGCAAAGUGUUCUUUUACAAAUAACAAAGUGUUGAAAUAAAAUGACAUUGUUA